rnacentral:rRNA from 1 species
GGAUGAACGCUGACAGAAUGCUUAACACCUGCAAGUCUACUUGAAUUUGGGUUUUUAAAUUUAGAUUUGGGUGGCGGACGGGUGAGUAACGCGUAAAGAACUUGCCUCACAGCUAGGGACAACAUUUAGAAAUGAAUGCUAAUACCUGAUAUUAUGAUUUUAAGGCAUCUUAGAAUUAUGAAAGCUAUAAGCACUGUGAGAGAGCUUUGCGUCCCAUUAGCUAGUUGGAGAGGUAACAGCUCACCAAGGCGAUGAUGGGUAGCCGGCCUGAGAGGGUGAACGGCCACAAGGGGACUGAGACACGGCCCUUACUCCUACGGGAGGCAGCAGUGGGGAAUAUUGGACAAUGGACCGAGAGUCUGAUCCAGCAAUUCUGUGUGCACGACCAAGUUUUUCGGAAUGUAAAGUGCUUUCAGUUGGGAAGAAAAAAAUGACGGUACCAACAGAAGAAGUGACGGCUAAAUACGUGCCAGCAGCCGCGGUAAUACGUAUGUCACGAGCGUUAUCCGGAUUUAUUGGGCGUAAAGCGCGUCUAGGUGGUUAUGUAAGUCUGAUGUGAAAAUGCAGGGCUCAACUCUGUAUUGCGUUGGAAACUGUAUAACUAGAGUACUGGAGAGGUAAGCGGAACUACAAGUGUAGAGGUGAAAUUCGUAGAUAUUUGUAGGAAUGCCGAUGGGGAAGCCAGCUUACUGGACAGAUACUGACGCUAAAGCGCGAAAGCGUGGGUAGCAAACAGG